rnacentral:rRNA from 1 species
GACGAACGCUGGCGGCGUGCUUAACACAUGCAAGUCGAACGGAAAGGCCCUGCUUUUGUGGGGUGCUCGAGUGGCGAACGGGUGAGUAACACGUGAGUAACCUGCCCUUGACUUUGGGAUAACUUCAGGAAACUGGGGCUAAUACCGGAUAGGAGCUCCUGCUGCAUGGUGGGGGUUGGAAAGUUUCGGCGGUUGGGGAUGGACUCGCGGCUUAUCAGCUUGUUGGUGGGGUAGUGGCUUACCAAGGCUUUGACGGGUAGCCGGCCUGAGAGGGUGACCGGCCACAUUGGGACUGAGAUACGGCCCAGAGUCCUACGGGAGGCAGCAGUGGGGAAUAUUGGACAAUGGGCGGAAGCCUGAUGCAGCAACGCCGCGUGCGGGAUGACGGCCGUCGGGUUGUAAACCGCUUUCGCCUGUGACGAAGCGUGAGUGACGGGAAUGGGUAAAGAAGCACCGGCUAACUACGUG